AUGAAGUCAGAGACCCAGGUCCUCAUAUCUCUUCUGCUUUGGGUGUCUGGUACCUGUGCAGACAUGGUGAUGACCCAGGCUCCAUCCUCCCUGGCUGUGUCAGCAGGAGAGAAGGUCACCAUUAGCUGCAAAUCCAGUCAGAGCCUUACUUCAGGCAGCUCAUACUACUUGUCUUGGUACCAGCAGAAACCAGGGCAGUCCCCUAAGCUGCUGAUCUACUAUGCAUCCACUCGGCACACUGGGGUCACUGAUUGCUUCACAGGCAGUGGAUCUGGCACAGAUUUCACUCUCUCAAUCAGCAGUGUACAGGAUGAAGACCUGGCAGUUUAUUACUGUCAGCAGCAUUAUGAAUAUCCUCCCACAAUAUUAGCCACAGUGUACAUUGUUCAAGGCCUCUUUACAGGCAGCAUUCCAAUGCCGGAGAAGCAGCCUCCUCCAGUCAAGCUCUCAGAGAUGGGGUCAGCUGCUCUCCUGCUAUGGAGACUGCUGCUGUGGGUGUCAGUAUUGUGGUCCUACUACAGAUGGGUUGUGUUCGUUAUCAUUAUUGUCCGCCGAAUCAUGAUGAAGGCCAUGAUCCAAGCUCCCGCUGAUUAUGAGCCCUGGCUGCUCUUCAAAGGAUCUGGGUUCAACUCCCAGUACACAUGA